rnacentral:rRNA from 1 species
CUUGAACGCUAGCGGGAUGCCUUACACAUGCAAGUCGAACGGAGUGGCGAACGGGUGAGUAAUGUAUCGGAACGUGCCCAGUAGCGGGGGAUAACUACGAGAAAGCGUAGCUAAUACCACUUACUCUUUGAGCGGUCGAUAUCGGACUAGCUAGUUGGUGGGGUAACGGCUCACCAAGGCCACGAUCCGUAGCUGGUUUGAGAGGACGACCAGCCACACUGAGACGAAGACAAGGCCAAGACUCCUCCGGGAGGCAGCAGUGGGGAAUUUUGGACAAUGGGGGAAACCCUGAUCCAGCCAUCCCGCGUGUGCGAUGAGGGCCUUCGGGUUGUAAAGCACUUUUGGCAGGAAAGCGGUACCUGCAGAAUAAGCACCGGCUAACUACGUGCCAGCAGCCGCGGUAAUAC